GAUGAACGCUGGCGGCGUGCCUAAUACAUGCAAGUCGAGCGAACGGACGAGAAGCUUGCUUUUCUGAUGUUAGCGGCGGACGGGUGAGUAACACGUGGAUAACCUACCUAUAAGACUGGGAUAACUUCGGGAAACCGGAGCUAAUACCGGAUAAUAUUUUGAACCGCAUGGUUCAAAAGUGAAAGACGGUCUUGCUGUCACUUAUAGAUGGAUCCGCGCUGCAUUAGCUAGUUGGUAAGGUAACGGCUUACCAAGGCAACGAUGCAUAGCCGACCUGAUAGGGGGAUCGGCCACCCUGGAACGGAGACGCGGUCCAGACUCCUACGGGAGGCAGCAGUAGGGAAUCUUCCGCAAUGGGCGAAAGCCUGACGGAGCAACGCCGCGCGAGUGAUGAAGGUCUUCGGAUCGUAAAACUCUGUUAUUAGGGAAGAACAGAUGUGUAAGUAACUGUGCACAUCUUGACGGUACCUAAUCAGAAAGCCACGGCUAACUACGUG
rnacentral:rRNA from 1 species